rnacentral:rRNA from 1 species
AUUGAACGCUGGCGGCAGGCCUCACACAUGCAAGUCGAACGAGUGGCGGAAGGGUGAGUAAUGUCUGGGAAACUGCCUGAAGGAGGGGGAUAACUACUGGAAACGGUCGCUAAUACCGCAUACCAUCAGAUGUGCCCAGAUGGGCUUAGCUAGUAGGUGUGGUAACGGCUAACCUAGGCGACGACCCCUAGCUGGUCUGAGAGGAUGACCAGCCACACUGGAACUGAGACACGGUCCAGACUCCUACGGGAGGCUGCAGUGGGGAAUAUUGCACAAUGGGCGCAAGCCUUAUGCAGCCAUGCCGCGUGUAUGAAGAAGGCCUUCGGGUUGUAAAGUACUUGCAGCGGGGAGGCGUUACCCGCAGAAGAAGCACCGGCUAACUCCGUGCCAGCAGCCGCGGUAAUUC